rnacentral:sRNA from 1 species
CUUUAGCCCCGAUUGCAGUGAAAAUCCUCGUAAGCCGGGGUUCGGCUUAUGAGAUUGUAACGGAAAGCGGGACUAAUG